AUUGAACGCUGGCGGCAUGCUUUACACAUGCAAGUCGAACGGUAACAGGCCUUCGGGUGCUGACGAGUGGCGCACGGGUGAGUAAUGCAUCGGAACGUGCCCAGAGGUGGGGGAUAACGCAGCGAAAGCUGUGCUAAUACCGCAUGUGAUCUGAGGAUGAAAGCGGGGGACCAGGCAGCAAUGUUUGGCCUCGCGCCUUUGGAGCGGCCGAUGUCAGAUUAGGUAGUUGGUGGGGUAAAGGCCUACCAAGCCGACGAUCUGUAGCUGGUCUGAGAGGACGACCAGCCACACUGGGACGGAGACACGGCCCAGACUCCUACGGGAGGCAGCAGUGGGGAAUUUUGGACAAUGGGCGCAAGCCUGAUCCAGCAAUGCCGCGUGCGGGAAGAAGGCCUUCGGGUUGUAAACCGCUUUUGUACGGAACGAAAAGGCUCUGGCUAAUACCUGGGGCUGAUGACGGUACCGUAAGAAUAAGCACCGGCUAACUACGUG
rnacentral:rRNA from 1 species